rnacentral:SRP_RNA from 1 species
GCCAGGCGUGGUGGUGCGUGCUUAUAAUCCCAGCUACUCAGGAGGCUGAGGCAGGGGAAUCGCUUGAACCCAGGAGACGGAGGUUGCAGUGAGCCGAGAUCGUGCCACUGCACUCCAGCCUGGGUGACAGAGUGAGACCCUGUCUCAA